UAAGUGACUAAGCGUACACGGUGGAUGCCUUGGCAGUCAGAGGCGAUGAAAGACGUAGUAACUGCGAUAAGCCCAGAUUAGGUAGUAACAACCAUUUGAGUCCUGGGAUUUCUGAAUGGGGAACCCACGUGCAUAAGCACGUAUCCUUACCUGAAUACAUAGGGUAAGGAGGCGAACCGGGGGAACUGAAACAUCUAAGUACCCCGAGGAAAAGAAAUCAACCGAGAUUCCGAAAGUAGCGGCGAGCGAAAUUGGACUAGCCCUUAAGCUUUACACGCGUUAGACGAACGGUCUGGAAAGUCCGACGAUACAGGGUGAUAGUCCCGUAGUUGACGACGUGUGUUCAUGAAAUCGAGUAGGGCGGGACACGUGAUAUCCUGUCUGAAUAUGGGGGGACCAUCCUCCAAGGCUAAAUACUACUGACUGACCGAUAGUGAACCAGUACCGUGAGGGAAAGGCGAAAAGAACCCCUGUGAGGGGAGUGAAAUAGAACCUGAAACCGUGUACGUACAAGCCGUAGGAGCAGGCUUUGUCCUGUGACUGCGUACCUUUUGAUUAAUGGUCAGCGACUUAUAUUCAGUGGCAAGGUUAACCAUCUAGGGAGCCCGUAGGGAAACCGAGUUCUUACUGGGCGUUCAGUCUCUGGAUAUAGACCCGAAACCAGGUGAUCUAGCCAUGGGCAGGUGAAGGUUGAGUAACAUCAACUGGAGGACCGAACCGACUAAUGUUGAAAAAUUAGCGGAUGACUUGUGGCUACGGUGAAAGGCCAAAUCAAAACCUGGAGAUAGCUGGUCUCCCGAAAGGCUAUUUAGGUAGCGCCUCGGACGAAUACUACUGGGGUAGAGCACGUUAAGGCUAGGGGUCAUCCCCGACUUACCAACCCUUUGCAAACUCCGAAUACCAGUAAGUACUAUCCGGGAGACACACGGCGGGUGCUAACGUCCGGUCCGUGGAGAGGGAACAACCCAGACGCCAGCUUAAAGCCAAUACUAUAAUGGAAACGAUGUCUGGGAGCGGCGGCGGAGCGCCAGGAUGUUGGCUUAGAGAAGCAAGCCAUCAUUUAAAGAAAGCGUAAUAGCUCACUGGUCGAGUCGGCCUGCGCGGAAGAUGUAACGGGGCUAAGUAGUAAACCGAAGCUGCGGCAAUAUACUUUUGUAUAUUGGGUAGGGGAGCGUUCUGUAAGCGGUUGAAGGUGUGUGGUAACGCAUGCUGGACGUAUCAGAAGUGCGAAUGCUGACAUGAGUAACGAUAAAGGGGGUGAAAAACCUCCUCGCCGGAAGACCAAGGGUUCCUGUCCAACGUUAAUCGGGGCAGGGUAAGUCGACCCCUAAGGCGAGGCCGAAAGGCGUAGUCGAUGGGAAACGGGUUAAUAUUCCCGUACUUCUUACAAUUGCGAUGGGGGGACGGAGAAGGCUAGGUGGGCCUGGCGACGGUUGUCCAGGUUCAAGUGCGUAGGCUUAAGAGUUAGGUAAAUCCGGCUCUUUUUAAGGCUGAGACACGACGUCGAGCACCUACGGGUGUGAAGUCAUUGAUGCCAUGCUUCCAGGAAAAGCCUCUAAGCUUCAGUGUAAAGGAAUCGUACCCAAACCGACACAGGUGGUCGGGUAGAGAAUACCAAGGCGCUUGAGAGAACUCGGGUGAAGGAACUAGGCAAAAUGGUACCGUAACUUCGGGAGAAGGUACGCUCUUGAUGGUGAAGUCCCUUGCGGAUGGAGCUGACGAGAGUCGCAGAUACCAGGUGGCUGCAACUGUUUAUUAAAAACACAGCACUGUGCAAAAUCGUAAGAUGACGUAUACGGUGUGACGCCUGCCCGGUGCCGGAAGGUUAAUUGAUGGGGUUAGACUUCGGUCGAAGCUCUUGAUCGAAGCCCCGGUAAACGGCGGCCGUAACUAUAACGGUCCUAAGGUAGCGAAAUUCCUUGUCGGGUAAGUUCCGACCUGCACGAAUGGCGUAAUGAUGGCCACGCUGUCUCCACCCGAGACUCAGUGAAAUUGAAAUCGCUGUGAAGAUGCAGUGUACCCGCGGCUAGACGGAAAGACCCCGUGAACCUUUACUACAGCUUGGCACUGAACAUUGACCCUACAUGUGUAGGAUAGGUGGGAGGCUUUGAAGCACGUACGCCAGUAUGUGUGGAGCCGUCCUUGAAAUACACCCCUUGUAGUGUUGAUGUUCUAACGUCGACCCCUUAUCGGGGUUGCGGACAGUGCCUGGUGGGUAGUUUGACUGGGGCGGUCUCCUCCCAAAGAGUAACGGAGGAGCACGAAGGUGGGCUAAUCACGGUUGGACAUCGUGAGGUUAGUGCAAUGGCAUAAGCCCGCUUGACUGCGAGAAUGACAAUUCGAGCAGGUGCGAAAGCAGGUCAUAGUGAUCCGGUGGUUCUGAAUGGAAGGGCCAUCGCUCAACGGAUAAAAGGUACUCCGGGGAUAACAGGCUGAUACCGCCCAAGAGUUCAUAUCGACGGCGGUGUUUGGCACCUCGAUGUCGGCUCAUCACAUCCUGGGGCUGAAGUCGGUCCCAAGGGUAUGGCUGUUCGCCAUUUAAAGUGGUACGCGAGCUGGGUUUAGAACGUCGUGAGACAGUUCGGUCCCUAUCUGCCGUGGGCGUUGGAAGAUUGAAGGGGGCUGCUCCUAGUACGAGAGGACCGGAGUGGACGAACCUCUGGUGUUCGGGUUGUGUCGCCAGACGCAUUGCCCGGUAGCUAAGUUCGGAAUCGAUAACCGCUGAAAGCAUCUAAGCGGGAAGCGAGCCCUGAGAUGAGUCUUCCCUGAUACUUUAAGUAUCCUAAAGGGUUGUCGGAGACUACGACGUUGAUAGGUCAGGUGUGUAAGUGCUGUGAGGCAUUGAGCUAACUGAUACUAAUUGCCCGUGAGGCUUAACCA
rnacentral:rRNA from 1 species